GACGAACGCUGGCGGCGUGCUUAACACAUGCAAGUCGAACGGUGAAGCUCCAGCUUGCUGGAGUGGAUCAGUGGCGAACUGGUGAGUAACACGUUAGCAACCUGCCCCGGACUCUGGAAUAAGCGCUGGAAACGGCGUCUAAUACUGGAUACGAGAAGGGUCCGCAUGGGCACCUUCUGGAAAGUUUUUCGGUUGGGGAUGGGCCCGCGGCCUAUCAGCUUGUUGGUGAGGUAAUGGCUCACCAAGGCGACGACGGGUAGCCGGCCUGCGAGGGCGACCGGCCACACUGGGACUGAGACACGGCCCAGACUCCUACGGGAGGCAGCAGUGGGGAAUAUUGCACAAUGGGCGAAAGCCUGAUGCAGCGACGCCGCGGGAGGGAUGACGGCCUUCGGGUUGUAAACCUCUUUCAGCAGGGAAGAAGCGAAAGUGACGGUACCUGCAGAAGAAGCACCGGCUAACUACGUG
rnacentral:rRNA from 1 species